rnacentral:rRNA from 1 species
AUUGAACGCUGGCGGCAGGCCUAACACAUGCAAGUCGAACGCGUGGCGGACGGGUGAGUAAUUUCUGGGAAACUGCGUGAUGGAGGGGUAUAACUUCUGGAAACGGUAGCUAAUACCGCAUACCAUCGGAUGUGCCCAGAGGGGAUUAGCUAGUAGGUGGGGUAAAGGCUCACCUAGGCGACGAUCCCUAGCUGGUCUGAGAGGAUGACCAGCCACACUGGAACGGAGACACGGUCCAGACUCCUACGGGAGGCAGCAGUGGGGAAUAUUGCACAAUGGGCGCAAGCCUGAUGCAGCCAUGCCGCGUGUGUGAAGAAGGCCUUCGGGUUGUAAAGGACUUUCAGCGGGGAGGCGUUACCCGCAGAAGAAGCACCGGCUAACUCCGUGCCAGCAGCCGCGGUAAUAC